UGAAUACGAGACGCUAAGGCGUCGAAGUAGUGUAUGUCAUACUUCCAAGAAAAGCUUGCACUGUCAUAGAUAAAAAACGCCUGUACCAUAACCGACACAGGUGGGUAGGUAGAGUAUACUAAGGGGCGCGAGAUAACUCUCUCUAAGGAACUCGGCAAAAUAACUCCGUAACUUCGGGAGAAGGAGUGCCUUAUUCGUAAGGUUGCAAUAACAAGAUCCAAGCAACUGUUUAUCAAAAACACAGGUCUCCGCUAAGUCGUAAGACGAUGUAUGGGGGCUGACGCCUGCCCAGUGCCAGAAGGUUAAAGAAGUUGGUUAGCAAUUGCGAAGCUGAUAACUGAAGCCCUGGUGAACGGCGGCCGUAACUAUAACGGUCCUAAGGUAGCGAAAUUCCUUGUCGGGUAAGUUCCGACCCGCACGAAAGGCGUAAUGAUUUGGAUACUGUCUCGGAGAGGGGCUCGGUGAAAUAGACUUGUCUGUGAAGAUGCGGACUACCUGCACCAGGACAGAAAGACCCUAUGAAGCUUUACUGUAACUUGAAAUUGAAAUUGGACUUUAUUCGCGCAGUAUAGGUGGGAGGCGUUGAUUAUAAUCUUGUGGGAUUAUUGGAGCCAUCAGUGAGAUACCACUCUUGUAAUGUUAGAUUUCUAACUUUGAAUCAUUAUCUGGUCAAAGAACAGUUUCAGGCGGGCAGUUUGACUGGGGCGGUCGCCUCCUAAACGGUAACGGAGGCGUACAAAGGUUUCCUCUGAACGGUUAGAAAUCGUAUCUAGAGUGUAAAGGCAUAAGGAAGCUUGACUGUGAGACCUACAAGUCGAGCAGGGACGAAAGUCGGUCUUAGUGAUCUGACGGUACUGAGUGGAAAGGCCGUCACUCAACGGAUAAAUGUUACUCUAGGAUAACAGGCUGAUCUCCCCCAAGAGUUCACAUCGACGGGGAGGUUUGGCACCUCGAUGUCGGCUCAUCGCAUCCUGGGGCGGUAGUACGUCCCAAGGGUUGGGCUGUUCGCCCAUGAAAGCGGUACGCGAGCUGGGUUCAGAACGUCGUGAGACAGUUCGGUCCAUAUCCGGUGUAGGCGUUAGAAUAUUGAGAGGAGCCUUCUUUAGUACGAGAGGACCGAGAAGGACAUACCUCUGGUGUACCAGUUAUCGUGCCAACGGUAAACGCUGGGUAGCUAUGUAUGGAGUGGAUAACCGCUGAAAGCAUCUAAGUGGGAAGCCCACCUCAAGAUAAGUAUUCUC
rnacentral:rRNA from 1 species